AUUGAACGCUAGCGGGGUGCCUUACACAUGCAAGUCGAACGGAGUGGCGAACGGGUGAGUAAUGUAUCGGAACGUGCCCCGUAGCGGGGGAUAACUACGCGAAAGCGUAGCUAAUACCGCAUACUAUUGGAGCGGCCGAGAGCGGAUUAGCUAGUUGUUGGGGUAACGGCUCACCAAGGCGACGAUCCGUAGCUGGUUUGAGAGGACGACCAGCCACACUGGAACUGAGACAGGGCCCAGACUCCUACGAGAGGCAACAGUGGGGAAUUUUGGACAAUGGGGGAAACCCUGUUCCAGCCAUCCCGCGUGUGCGAUGAAGGCCUUCGGGUUGUAAAGCACUUUUGGCAGGAAAGCGGUACCUGCAGAAUAAGCACCGGCUAACUACGUGCCAGCAGCCGCGGUAAUAC
rnacentral:rRNA from 1 species